AGUUGUUACAGUUCUCAGUCCCCUAAGAGGCUGACCAAGUGCUGAGAGGGGCUCCCAGCUUCUCUGCAUUCUGGAAAACCCACCGCAGAGCCCCGCCCUAGUGUGCUUCCGAUGCAAAAACCCAGGCCCAGAGAGAUGAAGAAACCUGGCUAAGCUCCUUGAAGCUAGAAAUGGCCUACCUGUAGAAUCUGUCUUCACUUCAAAGUCAGUGGAGUGCACAGUUUUAUUGUCGUGUUGAACUGAACAUGUCACUGAAUUUGAAUCUUCAUAUUUACCAAGCUUGACAGCAUUGUACUUCCCACUGGGAGAGAUGACAAUAGCAGGAUCAAACUCUGUUAUCUUCUUGGAUGACACGAGAUUUAUUCUUAUAUCCUUGGGGUAGAAUUCCUUCACCAGACAAGCGACAUUUGUUCCAUUUUUCAUGACAAAAACGGAUGGUUUGGUAUGAGGCUGACUUCCUGCAAAUAUAAUCAACUUAUUAGGGUCUUUUCCACCCAGGUUGGAGUGAAGUGGCCCAAUAUCAACUCAUUGCAACCUCUGCCUCCUGGCUCAGACUCUCCUCCAGCCUCAGUCUUCCGAGUAGCUGGGACCACAGGUGCACACCACCACACCUGGCUAAUUUUCUGUAUAAAAAUAAAUAAUUUUUCUAAUGCUUUAUCCUGAAUCUGAAUUUGGGCUUCAGCUGUGAGGUUCACAGCAGCAGAGCUACUGCCAGAUCAACUGGUUAUAUCUGGUUGAGAGGGGGCGAUUGCUAGUCAGGAAGUUUCUGCUGAUCACGGCUUUGUAAAUGGACCAAAGUUGAUCAUGGUUUUCCUAGAAAAUCAACUAUUCAGAGAAACCCCCCAUCACUACCAUCAUCAUUCUCCCCGUUUCCUCUGCUGAGAAGCUCAACUAAAAGACUGAUUCUGUUUCAGUCACUCAGGGCAGGAAACUUAUUCCUAAGAAUCUGGUUCCUUAUGUUUUUGGCUUUAGUUCUAGACAAUUGAAAGGAUUAGACAUUUUUCAAAGGGCUUUCUUGGAACCUGCUUUCAACCUGCUUGAGAAAACUUCCCCUGUUUGGUUUCCUUGCAUAGCUGAAGCCACUUGAUAACAGAAAGUGAUAACUCUAGCAUUAACGGUUGGAAACCACAUGCAUUGCUCACUCACCUCCCUUCAUAAGUGCAACACUUCUUGCUCACUAUCUUGACUUUGGUUUGAGACAUACUCUGGCUGACUUUCAAGGGAGUUACAAGUUACAAAAGAAACUUGUCCAUAAAAUAAACACCCUAUCUCCUUGUUUAUUUAAGAGUAUCUCUUAAUCCUGGUCUGAUUUAGUUGGAUAAUUAAGGCUUGCUAGAAUUUUAAAAGCUAAAUUCAUCAGGCAGUUGUCAAAUCAUCACUUUGGGCUGGGGAGAUUGGGUUUGAGUAAUUUGAAUAAUACAAUAUAACUGAAAAGACAGAUGUCUGAAGAAGGUCAUGCACUUAUGAUAUUGUGCUCUGACUCUGUUAGUCAGCAUUUCAGAUAGAGCAUAAUACAUUGAUUUGAUAAAACAUUUUUCUGAAUCCCUCUUUCUACAUUAAUGUUUAUAUUUUCAAAACGAUUGUUUGAAAGAAAGUGUCUUAUAGAAUCCAUUGUUUGGCAUCUUGGUAACCAAAGAAAUGGGUGUCUGACUGAAUUAAACCUUUUUAAAAACUGGAGUGCACUCAAUAUAGUUGCCAUAUGCAUCCUAGUCUAUUUUGUAUUUGACUUAAACCCAGACGUGAAGCUGUAUGAAAUUGUAGUCCAGAA
rnacentral:lncRNA from 10 species